rnacentral:rRNA from 1 species
GAUGAACGCUGGCGGCGUGCUUAACACAUGCAAGUCGAACGGAAAGGCUCCUGCUUGCAGGGGUACUCGAGUGGCGAACGGGUGAGUAACACGUGGGUGAUCUGCCCUGCACUUCGGGAUAAGCCUGGGAAACUGGGUCUAAUACCGGAUAGGACCACAUUUUGGAUGGUGUGGUGGAAAGUUUUUCGGUGUGGGAUGAGCUCGCGGCCUAUCAGCUUGUUGGUGGGGUAAUGGCCUACCAAGGCGUCGACGGGUAGCCGGCCUGAGAGGGUGUACGGCCACAUUGGGACUGAGAUACGGCCCAGACUCCCACGGGAGGCAGCAGUGGGGAAUAUUGCACAAUGGGCGCAAGCCUGAUGCAGCGACGCCGCGUGGGGGAUGACGGCCUUCGGGUUGUAAACUCCUUUCGCUAGGGACGAAGCGCAAGUGACGGUACCUGGAGAAGAAGCACCGGCUAACUACGUG